rnacentral:rRNA from 1 species
CGCGUAGGUGGUUCGUUAAGUUGGAUGUGAAAUCCCCGGGCUCAACGUGGGCAUUGCAUUUGAAACUAUGUAGCUAGAGUUCUGUAGAGGGGGGUAGAAUUCCAGGUGUAGCGGUGAAAUGCGUAGAGAUCUGGAGGAAUACCGAUUGCGAAGGCAGCCCCCUGGACAGUGACUGACGCUCAUAUGCGAAAGCGUGGGGAUCAAACAGGAUUAGAUACCCUUGUA